rnacentral:rRNA from 1 species
CGGAUGGAACUUAACUUAGUGGCGGACGGGUGAGUAACGCGUGGAUAACCUGCCUCACACUGGGGGAUAGCAGCUGGAAACGGCUGGUAAUACCGCAUAAGACCCCCGGCACCGCAUGGUGCCGAGGUAAAAGAUUUAUCGGUGUGAGAUGGAUCCGCGUCUGAUUAGCCAGUUGGCGGGGUAACGGCCCACCAAAGCGACGAUCAGUAGCCGGCCUGAGAGGGUGAACGGCCACAUUGGGACUGAGACACGGCCCAAACUCCUACGGGAGGCAGCAGUGGGGAAUAUUGCACAAUGGGCGCAAGCCUGAUGCAAAACCAACGCCGCGUGAGUGAAGAAGUAUUUCGGUAUGUAAAGCUCUAUCAGCAGGGAAGAAAGGCCCGAAAGGGAGAUGACGGUACCUGACUAAGAAGCCCCGGCUAACUACGUGCCAGCCGCGGC